UACGUAGGGGGCUAGCGUUGUCCGGAUUUAUUGGGCGUAAAGAGCGUGUAGGCGGCCAAACAGGUCCGUUGUGAAAACUGGAGGCUUAACCUCCAGACGUCGACGGAAACCGUGUGGCUAGAGUCCGGAAGAGGAGAGUGGAAUUCCUGGUGUAGCGGUGAAAUGCGCAGAUAUCAGGAAGAACACCAAUGGCGAAGGCAGCUCUCUGGGACGGUACUGACGCUGAGGCGCGACAGCGUGGGGGAGCAAACAGG
rnacentral:rRNA from 1 species